GCCGGGCGUUGUGGCGGGAACCUGUAGUCCCAGCCACUUGGGAGGCUGAGGCUAGAGAAUAGCUUUAGCCCAGGGAUUGGAGGUUGCUGUGAGCUGUGUGAUGCCACGGCACUCUACCAAGGGUAACAAAGUGAGACUCUGUCUCUAUUUAAAAAAAAAAAAAAAAAAAGAGAGACAGAGUCUUAUUUUGUUGCCCUUGGUAGAGUGCUGUGCCAUCACAGCUCAUAGCAACCUCCAGCUCUUGGACUUAGAAGGUUCUCUUUCCUCAG
rfam:Otolemur garnettii contig119268, whole genome shotgun sequence.